rnacentral:lncRNA from 1 species
AGUUUGGUUCUGAAGAUAAGGUCUCUAACCUUGGCUGUACUAGAACUUAGAGAUCCACUUGUCUCUGCCUCCCUUGCACUGAGAUUAAAGGUGUGCACUACCAUACCAUCUGAGGAGCUUGAAGGGGACACAGGCAACCAAAACUACUUUUGGUUCCAAAUAGUUCAUGAAAAACUAGAGAAAAGAUGAUGGUUUAUCAUGUAUAUAUUUACCUGUUCUUGGUCAGUUCUGAAAGCUGAUCUCUAUUAUCAUUGUGCAGUAGUGCACAGUGGCUUCUAAACACUUUGCCCUCUGUCUAUAAGGCAGUCAUAGUUAACUUCUUAGCUGGAUUAAAACAGCUGCAACUUCAAAGGCCAUUUACUGGUUGGUUGGUUGGUUGGUUGGUUGGUCGAUUUUUUUUUUUUUUUUUUUUUUUUUUGAGAUACUUUCUCUAUGUAGUCCUGGCUACCCAGAGAAAAGAUGUGCACCACCAUGCCUGGCUUUUAAUUGGCAGUUUGGGGGAGGGAGGGGGAGAUGUAUAAUGAAUGUUUUACUUGAGUGGGUGUUUGUGCUCUGUGCAUGCUUGGUGCCCUCUGAGGUCAGAAGAAAGCACAAGAUGCCCUGGAACUGCACUGUGGAUAGUCAUAAGCUGCCUUGCAGUUGCUGGGAACCAAACCCAGAUCCUCUUUAAAUACAACCAGUGCUCAACUACUGAGCCAUCUCUCCAGCCUUCAUUGACCUUUUGUGAAACUGUUUUGCCAGAGAAGAAACAGAAAGAGACCAAUGUUCCCCCCGGAACCUUUUGAUCCACAGCGAAGUCUAAAUAAAUACUGCUGUUAGAGUGAGGAAGAAACUUCUUUUGAGAUUUUCUUUUUUCUAUGCAAAUUGUUGGGUGAUGAGAAAGAGAGCUGUUUGCCUUCCGUGUUGGUCAUCAAGGUCUGCGUGCAUUGCAACAGUGUCACCUGUGAGUUCCUGUGUCUGAAGCCGAGAAGAUCCACAAAAUGAGGCUUUUCCAUAGUUGGUUUGUGUUUUUAACAAGAAAAUGGAGAGGCUUUUUGUUUGUUUUUGUUUUUGUUUUUUUGCCUCUGACUUCUCUCUGAAACCAGCCAACAAGUACAACUAGCAAUUUUUAAAGAUUUAGCAAGAACUUGCACUGAGUUUUCAUUUACAGGAGCACAAAUAAAAAUAUUUGAU